GACGUAGGGGGCGAGCGUUGUCCGGAAUUAUUGGGCGUAAAGAGCUCGUAGGCGGUUUGUUGCGUCGGCUGUGAAAUCCCGAGGCUCAACCUCGGGUCUGCAGUCGAUACGAGCAAACUAGAGUGUUGCAGGGGAGACUGGAAUUCCUGGUGUAGCGGUGAAAUGCGCAGAUAUCAGGAGGAACACCGGUGGCGAAGGCGGGGUCUCUGGG
rnacentral:rRNA from 1 species